ACAGUAGCUCCCUCUAGCUCAACAUUCAGAUACGAAAAGAGAAAACAACAUCAACAGCUUUCGUAAUUUACGGUCAGUUUGGUUUGUAAAUUAAAGUUAAUACUUUAGCGGUGUAAAAAUGAAAUUGACAUAACGUAAAGCAUUUUCAACUUAUUUUUUCUAUCAUUGAAAAAAAAAAAUAGAAUAAUUCAAAUAUUGCAUCAAUCGGUAUUUUGUGCACAAAAAGUUUUAUAUGUUACGCAUAUCUUACUCUUGAUAGGUUGGAUUUCCGUGGCAAUUUACGAUUAGACAAAACAAAGCCCUGUUUAAAAAUAUAAUCAAAAUUCAAAUUCUUGUGCUUAAGUAUAUGGAUUUUCUCUAAAAGAUACUAUUUCAAGACAUUAACAUUUUUCAGUUAAAGAUCGGAACACUCUUUGAUGGAUGCUUUAAAGCACGAUGACAUACACCAGAGACCAAUUUACAUCGAAACUCCAGCCAUCUUGAGCACACCUUUGUCGAAUAGUACUGGGUUCAAAGUUUACCUAAAGCUUGAAAAUUUGCAAGUGCCAGGAAGCUUCAAGAUUAGGGGAAUAGGAAACUUGUGUCAGAAGGUUUGUGCAUUCGCUGUCAACUCUAAACUUGUUGCUUACCUUAACGCAAAGUAACUGCUGCAUGUUAUGCUGUGAUCCAUGAAUAUAUUUGUAUCAUUUGGAGCUCUGCAAUGAUAUAAGGAGACUGGGUUGUCAACAAGUUACUGAUCAGGCGAUCGCCUUGAGUUUUUUGUUUUGCUAUAAAAUAUUAUCUAGUAAACAAAAACCAUAUAUUUAAACAAUACAAUUUAAAUUUUUGAUCAUUUUUUUAAAACAGACAGAGCUCUUUUAUGUCCAUUCAAAAAUGGCCCCGGAAAUCGAUAAGCGUAAUGUGUAUUGAUAUAUCAUUCAGUCUUAUGAAAAUAUCUUAUUCCUUAAUAUUUUCUCGUCAUCAUUUGUUUUCAGGCUGUGUUGAAGGGCUGUAAGAGGGUGGUAUGUGCCUCAGGUGGAAAUGGAGGUUUAGCAGCUGCCUAUGCUGCUCGACUUUUGAAUCUCCCAGCAACCAUUGUUCUCCCUACAACUACUCCGGACUUUAUGGCACAGAAAAUCAGAGACCAGGAAGCAACCGUGGAAGUCCAAGGCAGUGUUUGGGAUGAAUCAAAUCAGUAUGCUAUGACUCUUGCCAAAGAUCCAGAAUGUUUGUAUGUUAAUCCAUGUGACCAUCCAGAUAUAUGGGAGGGACAUGAAUCCUUGAUAGUAGAGACCAAGCAGCAGCUGCCCUGCCCACCUGAUGUUGUGGUGGCUUCGGUAGGAGGUGGGGGACUUUUGUGUGGGGUCAUACAAGGGAUGCAGAGAGUUGGAUGGGGCCACAUCCCAGUGGUUGCAAUGGAGACUGAAGGAGCUGACUGUCUGAAUGUGUCACUGAGAGAAAACAAGGUGGCCACAAUUCCAGCAAUUACAAGCGUCGCAAAAUGUCUUGGGGCCCUCACUCCAUGCACAAAAGUGUUUGAAUUGUGCCAGAAGAAUAAAGUCAUAUCAAAGCUUUGUACAGACAAACAAGCUAUUAAUGCUUGUCUUAAGUUUGCAGACGAUCAUCGACAGUUGGUGGAACCCGCAUGUGGUGCCAGUUUGGCUGCUGUUUAUAGUGGUAUCCUCAAGGACCUUCAAACUCAGGGUCAGCUCGGUGAAAUAAAGUCAGCGCUGAUUGUCGUCUGCGGGGGCAGCGCUGUCACCCUUGAUGCUCUCAGUAAAUGGAAAAAAGAAUUUGACUUGUAAUGAUUGGUAAAAGUUUUUGUAAUAAAUAAAAUGUGACACUGAAUGUCAAACACAU
rnacentral:misc_RNA from 1 species